GAUCCUGGCUCAUAUUGAACGCUGGCGGCAGGCUUAACACAUGCAAGUCGAGCGGGGAAGGGUAGCUUGCUACCUGACCUAGCGGCGGACGGGUGAGUAAUGCUUAGGAAUCUGCCUAUUAGUGGGGGACAACAUUCCGAAAGGAAUGCUAAUACCGCAUACGCCCUACGGGGGAAAGCAGGGGAUCUUCGGACCUUGCGCUAAUAGAUGAGCCUAAGUCAGAUUAGCUGGUUGGUGGGGUAAAGGCCUACCAAGGCGACGAUCUGUAGCGGGUCUGAGAGGAUGAUCCGCCACACUGGGACUGAGACACGGCCCAGACUCCUACGGGAGGCAGCAGUGGGGAAUAUUGGACAAUGGGCGAAAGCCUGAUCCAGCCAUGCCGCGUGUGUGAAGAAGGCCUUUUGGUUGUAAAGCACUUUAAGCGAGGAGGAGGCUACUUGGAUUAAUACUCUAGGAUAGUGGACGUUACUCGCAGAAUAAGCACCGGCUAACUCUGUGCCAGCAGCCGCGGUAAUACAGAGGGUGCGAGCGUUAAUCGGAUUUACUGGGCGUAAAGCGUGCGUAGGCGGCUUUUUAAGUCGGAUGUGAAAUCCCUGAGCUUAACUUAGGAAUUGCAUUCGAUACUGGGAAGCUAGAGUAUGGGAGAGGAUGGUAGAAUUCCAGGUGUAGCGGUGAAAUGCGUAGAGAUCUGGAGGAAUACCGAUGGCGAAGGCAGCCAUCUGGCCUAAUACUGACGCUGAGGUACGAAAGCAUGGGGAGCAAACAGGAUUAGAUACCCUGGUAGUCCAUGCCGUAAACGAUGUCUACUAGCCGUUGGGGCCUUUGAGGCUUUAGUGGCGCAGCUAACGCGAUAAGUCGGCCGCAUGGGUAUCCCGGU
rnacentral:rRNA from 1 species